rnacentral:rRNA from 1 species
UAGAGUUUGAUCUUGGCUCAGAAUCACGCUGGCGGCGUGCUUACACAUGCAAGUCGAACGCGAAAGAGGCUUCGUCUUGAGUAGAGUGGCGAACGGGUGAGUAACACGUGGGUGAUCUACCUCUGAGUGGGGGAUAACGUUCCGAAAGGAGCGCUAAUACCGCAUGACGUCCUGGGUUUGAAGACCUGGACACCAAAGUCGGGGACCGCAAGGCCUGACGCUUGGAGAGGAGCCCGCGCCUGAUUAGCUAGUUGGUGAGGUAACGGCUCACCAAGGCGACGAUCAGUAGCCGGCCUGAGAGGGCGGACGGCCACACUGGGACUGAGACACGGCCCAGACUCCUACGGGAGGCAGCAGUGGGGAAUUGUUCGCAAUGGGCGCAAGCCUGACGACGCAACGCCGCGUGGAGGAUGAAGGUCUUCGGAUUGUAAACUCCUGUUGAUCGGGAAGAAUGGCCUCCGGGUUAAUACUCCGGAGGAGUGACGGUACCGAUUGAGGAAGCCACGGCUAACUCUGUGCCAGCAGCCGCGGUAAUACAGAGGUGGCAAGCGUUGUUCGGAAUUACUGGGCGUAAAGGGCGCGUAGGCGGUCGCCUAAGUCGGACGUGAAAUCCCCAAGCUUAACUUGGGAACUGCGUCCGAUACUGGGUGACUUGAGUUCGGGAGAGGAAUGUGGAAUUCCAGGUGUAGCGGUGAAAUGCGUAGAUAUCUGGAGGAACACCGGUGGCGAAGGCGGCAUUCUGGACCGAAACUGACGCUGAGGCGCGAAAGCCAGGGGAGCAAACGGGAUUAGAUACCCCGGUAGUCCUGGCCCUAAACGAUGAGUGCUUGGUGUGGCGGGUAUCGAUCCCUGCCGUGCCGAAGCUAACGCAUUAAGCACUCCGCCUGGGGAGUACGGUCGCAAGGCUGAGACUUAAACGAAUUGACGG